UACGUAGGGUGCAAGCGUUAUCCGGAAUUAUUGGGCGUAAAGAGCUCGUAGGCGGUUUGUCGCGUCUGCUGUGAAAGCCCGGGGCUCAACCCCGGGUCUGCAGUGGGUACGGGCAGACUAGAGUGCAGCAGGGGAGACUGGAAUUCCUGGUGUAGCGGUGAAAUGCGCAGAUAUCAGGAGGAACACCGAUGGCGAAGGCAGGUCUCUGGGCUGUAACUGACGCUGAGGAGCGAAAGCGUGGGGAGCGAACAGG
rnacentral:rRNA from 1 species